rnacentral:rRNA from 1 species
AAGCGGCAACAGCUCAAAUUUGAAAUCUGGCUUCGGCCCGAGUUGUAAUUUGUAGAGGAUGCUUUUGGUGAGGUGCCUUCUGAGUUCCCUGGAACGGGACGCCAGAGAGGGUGAGAGCCCCGUAUAGUUGGACACCGAGCCUCUGUAAAGCUCCUUCGACGAGUCGAGUAGUUUGGGAAUGCUGCUCAAAAUGGGAGGUAUAUCUCUUCUAAAGCUAAAUACUGGCCAGAGACCGAUAGCGCACAAGUAGAGUGAUCGAAAGAUGAAAAGCACUUUGAAAAGAGGGUUAAAUAGUACGUGAAAUUGUUGAAAGGGAAGCGCUUGUGACCAGACUUGUGCCCGGCUGAUCAUCCAGUGUUCUCACUGGUGCACUCUGCCGGGCUCAGGCCAGCGUCGGUUCUCGCAGGGGGACAAAAGCUUCGGGAACGUAGCUCCUCCGGGAGUGUUAUAGCCCGUUGCUCAAUACCCCUGCGG